UGCAGACACUUUGUUUCGUUUGGUUUGAAUUUUUGACAUCAAAUAGGGCUGAAGUUUUGUCAUGUGUUGUUUUCUGAAUUUUGAAUGAACAGGACGAGAGGCGGCUGCCUGCUGCAGGUGGCAGCAACAAACACAUCAGGCCUCUGCGCCCUCUAGCCAAGGAGGUUUUAUUGUGUUACACCUUUGCACACAGGUGCUUCUAGACAAUUUAAACUUCAAGAUUACCACAAAGAAACAUGAAGUCACCUUCAAGCUGUUCAAGACCAAGUAGUUUUGUGUAGUAGGAGUUGUGCUGCUAUGUAAUUAAUUUUUUUUGUAAAUACAUUUAUAUUUUGUAUCUUUGAAUUGGUCGCCUUUUAUGUAAUAAUGAACAUAUUGGGUAUUUUGGUUGAGCUCUAAUAUAUUAGCUUGUUAUAAUUGGUCUCCUUUUA